GGGUCCUGGAGCAGCUGCGGCUCGGCGGUGAUCUCGACAGCGGGUGGCUGGUCCGUGCUGGCCUCGGCGAUCGCGCCGCUGAGGAGCCA
rnacentral:tRNA from 1 species